CGGGCGCUGCCCGGGGACCCCGCCGUGUGUGGUCCGCGACCGGCUCCGGUCCGGGGGGCCCCAAGGCUUGCCCUGCCGCCUGCUGCUUCGCGGCCCUCAUGCGUCGCGAUCCCCAGAGGUGUUUUGGAACCGACAAUGAGCCGCUUGGUCAGUACCAAGGGCUGAGGAACAACCACAGGUCUGUGUUCACCACAAAAACUGCCUUCUGUUUUUCGAGUCCCUGCUCUCUAUCCCUUUGCAAGGUUGGGCAUGAGGUGGAAUUCCAGAGCUACUUCUGUAGCGCUGAUGAGAACAGGGGAAGUGGAACGACUGAGGUUUGGCGGCUGUGGAGCCCCUCAGAAGCCGCCACGGUGUUGUGUCUAUGCCGUGUCUUUGGAAGAAAACCUAAUUAAUUGUGACUGGAAAUCUCACCCAAAUACAGCCAUUUUUGAUGGCAUGCUUUUCCAUGGAUUCAGCUGUACAGAACUGUGGGGAAUCUGUAGCCAAUAAAUGAACAAUGCACCAAAUGUGGGAAACCAGCCCGGUUUUGGCCACAAUAGCUCUGUGCCUUCGAUACUGUCAUUCUGUGAACACCCACCUCUUUUUCCAGAGCAGCACAACUGGUCUAUAUGGAACAUACUGGGAAGCCAAGUGGGUGAUUGUCUGCACUGUUUAUUUUUAUGUAAGUAUUUUAUGUAAAUGGCAGACUAUACAAACAAAAUGGAGAUAUCGGGAAAGUAAUCUUAAAGUAUUCAACAGCAAGCAGUAGGAUUUGUUAUUUGGAGAACAAGCCCUGUACUUACCUCCCAUUGAAAUCGCCUGUACUUGACAAAUUUUCUUAAGGGUGGAGAAAAUACAAGGCUUUUGAUGAAAAAUAGCUGAAAUUAUUCCCUUUAAACCAGAAAGAAUUGGUGCAUGGAAGAAAUAGUGAUUUGAAAAAUCCAUUUGCUAUAGGCAUGCAGUAUUUUCUUGAAGUCCUUAAUAGCUGGAAACUCCUCUGUUCUGUUAUUUUGUGCCCUGUUCCCUACCUUCCCUGAAUAUAUUGCCCUUAGUAAUGAAUCCUUAAGUAACAGCACUAUCACUCCUUCUCUUGGCAAAAUGUGUGACUUUUUAAGAAAUAAGUUUCUAAGUAAAACUACUUUCAGUGUAUUUAUUUGCAGAAAGCAAGUUUAUGGAGUCUUUUGGCAGCAACUCAGCACACAAUGCCUGUCUAAAGAGUAACUAAGGAUGAGAAGCUUAACUAUUUGGACACUUACAAAUGGGGACAGCACCUGCUCAAAUGUCUCCUUAAACCUUUUAUUGAAGCAUGGUAUCACACUUUCAGCUAGUAAAGUUUUCCUCUCACUUUUCAAAGGGCAGUUGACAGCACUGGAAAACUUCUCUCAGCACACAUAGAUUGCAGCAUUGAUGGCAGAUACUAGGAAGGAUGAACAAGGAUUAGCUCUCACAGUGGUACAGGAUGGGCCUUAUCUCCAGAUAACAAGCCUAAUUGAAAAAAGCUCUGCAGCUAAUGAUGGAAAGCUGAAACCAAGUAAAAAGAACCAAUAGUGAUAUUAAAAGUUAAUAGCAUUGAAAAUAUCCUUGUUCUGCAUUUAUGCUUUGAGCCUGUCUCUGAUUUCUUUACACUUACACAGAUCAAAAGAAACUCAGUUUAAAAUUACAGAGAAAAGAAACUAGCACAAACUGUAUAAAGCUCAGUGCCAGCAUUCCACUGUGAUGAAAUACCUGUGAUCUUAAAAUAGCUGAUACAGUAACUGUUCCAUAAUCAGAUCAAGAUUUAAGUCUGUACAUUGUUCUCCAGCAAAAACAGAUUUCCUAUUCACCAGCAGAUUUUUCCAAAAAAUAUUUUGACUAUUACCUUUAUGUAACAACUAAACUUGAAUAAUAUAAUUCUUUAUUCAGUGCAUUAUUGUUCAAGUAAUUUCACUCGACAAGUAACACAAAUCUUCCCAAGGCUUGAAAUUAAUUUGCUUUUUAUUUCUCUUUAUUACAGAGUAGUUACAAAGUGGCAAUGGACUAAUCUCUGUGCUUUAAUAAUCCACACAGGUGUUCAUUUGCUAAAUGUUUUAAAUGAAAUGAACCGUGUCAGUACUAGCAGAGUAUUACCAGUUAUUAAAGGUUUCUUGUGGAACAUCUGACACCUGUAUUAAACUUGAAAUUGAAAGCUCUGUAAAUGUGAGUGCUUCACAUGGGUCCCCAGCCCAAUUACAUUAAACUCAUGAACUAGUUUGGGGAAGAUACUGUGCUAUGGUAAUUCCCAGCAUGAAAUUGUCUCUAACAUUGAAAUCUAUGAAGCGAAAACUGGAGCGUAAUGAAGUAAUUUAGAAAUUUACUGCCUGUACAGGUAAAAUGCAUAUCUUUAAAUUAGAACAAUUUUCCUAGCAAUGCCUUUAUAGUUUGGGCAGUCCUUUCUUCAGAAUUGCAAGCGCCACGAAGAAAUAUCUACUUGCUUGAUGAAAUAAAAUCCAUCCAGUUCUUAGCCUCUUCUUAGGAAAAAGGCUUUGCACUUUUGAUCUGAGUAUAAAAAUCAGUGGAAAAAUCUAGAGAACAAAUUUGAACUUAUUAUUAUUUUCUUAGGACAUGAUAGCUCAUCCAUUCCCUGAAAAAAAAUCCCUUUGAUUUACAAAAGUAUAUAUAUGAUACUGAUUUGGUUGUUGGUUUGUUUGGGUUUUUUCCAUCUAUAAUUAGAAUACUAAUCAUUGAAUAUUAAGAAUAUGCAUCACUGAAACUAAGUAGUUCUAUUUGCAACAAUUUGAAGAAGGCAAGCUCCAAAAGCAUUUUCAAUAAAGGCUACAAGGAGUCAAAUUA